rnacentral:rRNA from 1 species
UACGGAGGGUGCAAGCGUUAUCCGGAUUCACUGGGUUUAAAGGGUGCGUAGGUGGGUUGGUAAGUCAGUGGUGAAAUCCCCGAGCUUAACUUGGGAACUGCCAUUGAUACUAUCAGUCUUGAAUACCGUGGAGGUCGGCGGAAUAUGUCAUGUAGCGGUGAAAUGCUUAGAUAUGACAUAGAACACCAAUUGCGAAGGCAGCUCGACUAACGCGAAGACUU